CCUACGGGCGGCAGCAGUGGGGAAUAUUGGACAAUGGGCGAAAGCCUGAUCCAGCCAUGCCGCGUGUGUGAAGAAGGCCUUCGGGUUGUAAAGCACUUUCAGUGGGGAAGAAAGCCUUGGGGCUAAUACCCUCGAGGAAGGACAUCACCCACAGAAGAAGCUCCGGCUAACUCCGUGCCAGCAGCCGCGGUAAUACGGAGGGUGCGAGCGUUAAUCGGAAUUACUGGGCGUAAAGCGCGCGUAGGCGGUCUGAUAAGCCGGUUGUGAAAGCCCCGGGCUCAACCUGGGAACGGCAUCCGGAACUGUCAGGCUAGAGUGCAGGAGAGGAAGGUAGAAUUCCCGGUGUAGCGGUGAAAUGCGUAGAGAUCGGGAGGAAUACCAGUGGCGAAGGCGGCCUUCUGGACUGACACUGACGCUGAGGUGCGAAAGCGUGGGUAGCAAACAGGAUUAGAUACCCCAGUAGUC
rnacentral:rRNA from 1 species